GACGAACGCUGGCGGCGUGCUUAACACAUGCAAGUCGAGCGGUAAGGCCCUUUCGGGGGUACACGAGCGGCGAACGGGUGAGUAACACGUGGGUGACCUGCCCUCAGCUCUGGGAUAAGCCUGGGAAACCGGGUCUAAUACUGGAUAUGACUCCAUGACGCAUGUUGUGGGGUGGAAAGCCUUGUGCGGCUGAGGAUGGGCCCGCGGCCUAUCAGCUUGUUGGUGGGGUGAUGGCCUACCAAGGCGACGACGGGUAGCCGGCCUGAGAGGGCGACCGGCCACACUGGGACUGAGACACGGCCCAGACUCCUACGGGAGGCAGCAGUGGGGAAUCUUGCGCAAUGGGCGAAAGCCUGACGCAGCGACGCCGCGUGAGGGAUGACGGCCUCGGUGUAAC
rnacentral:rRNA from 1 species